rnacentral:lncRNA from 1 species
UUCUCCCGUUUCCCCGAAGAUAUCGUUUUAACCACGUUUUCCAGCAGGAUAACCGGCACGUGGCACACGAUGACCUUUUUUAAGAAUAACCAUAUUCGUGUGUUGCCUUGGUCAGCAAUGUCUCCAGAUUUAUCGCCAAUUGAACAUCUUUGGGACGAUAUUCAACGACGUAUCAGAAAUAGCCAAAAUCCACCGGAAACGCUCGCCCAGCUCCGAACAGCUCUUUUCAGGGAAUGAAACAACAUCCA